rnacentral:rRNA from 1 species
GACGAACGCUGGCGGCGUGCCUAAUACAUGCAAGUAGAACGCUGAAGAGAGGAGCUUGCUCUUCUUGGAUGAGUUGCGAACGGGUGAGUAACGCGUAGGUAACCUGCCUGGUAGCGGGGGAUAACUAUUGGAAACGAUAGCUAAUACCGCAUAAAAUUGAUUAUUGCAUGAUAAUUAAUUGAAAGAUGCAACUGCAUCACUACCAGAUGGACCUGCGUUGUAUUAGCUAGUUGGUGAGGUAACGGCUCACCAAGGCGACGAUACAUAGCCGACCUGAGAGGGUGAUCGGCCACACUGGGACUGAGACACGGCCCAGACUCCUACGGGAGGCAGCAGUAGGGAAUCUUCGGCAAUGGGGGGAACCCUGACCGAGCAACGCCGCGUGAGUGAAGAAGGUUUUCGGAUCGUAAAGCUCUGUUGUAAGAGAAGAACGGGUGUGAGAGUGGAAAGUUCACACUG